GACAGAGGGUGCAAACGUUGUUCGGAAUUACUGGGCGUAAAGCGUGCGCAGGCGGUCCGCUAAGACAGAUGUGAAAUCCCCGGGCUUAACCUGGGAACUGCAUUUGUGACUGGCGGGCUAGAGUAUGGCAGAGGGGGGUAGAAUUCCACGUGUAGCAGUGAAAUGCGUAGAGAUGUGGAGGAAUACCGAUGGCGAAGGCAGCCCCCUGGGCCAAUACUGACGCUCAUGCACGAAAGCGUGGGGAGCGAUCCGG
rnacentral:rRNA from 1 species